CUAAUAUGUGUAUAAGACUGAGUUUUGUCGAUACAGUGAUGCAAAUAUCUAGCUUGGUAGGGGUAUUAGAUUUAUCAGGAGGGAGUCUCAGGACAUUGUUGUCGAAGCAGUAAAGAAGAGGCAUUGUGCUACUAAGAAGCCUUAAUAUAAGUCAAGGUGAUCCAGAAGAUAAGAACCGAGAAGUAAGAAGUUAGAGUACAGGUCGUGAGGCCUCUCUUUGUAAAAUCAAGGAUGACAACAAGCCUGAAGCUUUCACCAAGCAAACAUUCGCUCGCUUUUUACUUUUCAGCUCUCGUCUUGGACCGGUUUAAUCGUCUUAUCCCUAUACUGUUAAUUGAGAACGAUAGAACUUCAGAAGAUGAAUUGAGGAAUUUUGGAGCCUCCAACGACAACGAUGAUCUAGCAAACUAUGACGAGUAUGGGAACUAUUAUUACAAUGAAAAAUAUUAUUAAGAUGAAUGAAUUUUGAUUGUGUAUCCCUCAGAGUCUUGAGUGUCUGAAACUGAUCAAGCACAAAGAAACUGAAACU